AUUCCCUUAGUAUAAGCAAUACAACUGACUUCCAAUUAGUAAAUUCUGAAAAAAUUCAGAAGGGAAUA
rnacentral:tRNA from 1 species